GCACAUCAUACUUAAAAUGAUAUGGCUAACCCGAAUGCCAACUGAAUAAAUUAUCAAUAUUGAUAAACUUCAAAUUUACACCAUGACAUGUGCAAUAAACUUCAAGUUUAUUAUGAUAUGGGUUUUUAUAUCAAUAAACGUCCAAUUUAUUGUGGUAUUCCUGUGUAGUACAAACUGGAGAAUAAAGCGGGUAGUUUUUCACAUACAGAUUAUCCCGCUACAAGUUGUAGUAAUAGAAGAUAUCAAAUCUUUCCUUUAUUN
rnacentral:lncRNA from 1 species